GUCAAGGAGAUAGAGAAAAGGGAAUCCUAGUAUAAUAUUGGUGGGAAUGUAAAUUGGUUCAGCCACUAUGGAAAACAGUACGGAGGUUCCUCAAAAAAUUAAAAAUAGAACUACAUAUGACCUAGCAAUCCCACAUCUGGUUAUAUAAUCAAAGGAAUUGAAAUUAGGA